ACGCUCGACACCUACGGGAGGCAGCAGUGAGGAAUAUUGGUCAAUGGGCGCAGGCCUGAACCAGCCAAGUAGCGUGAAGGAUGACUGCCCUAUGGGUUGUAAACUUCUUUUAUAUGGGAAUAAAGUUUUCCACGUGUGGAAUUUUGUAUGUACCAUAUGAAUAAGGAUCGGCUAACUCCGUGCCACAGCCGCGGUAAUCUGAGCGGGCUGGCAAGGC
rnacentral:rRNA from 1 species